rnacentral:rRNA from 1 species
UUUCGCAAUGCCCGAAAGGGUGACGAAGCGACGCCGCGUGGGUGAGGAAGGCCUUCGGGUUGUAAAGCCCUGUCAGGAGUUAAGAAAUGUAAGUGCGCUAAUACCGCAUUUAUUUGACGAAGGCUCCAAAGGAAGUCACGGCUAACUCUGUGCCAGCAGCCGCGGUAAUACGGAGGUGGCAAGCGUUGUUCGGAAUUAUUGGGCGCAAAGAGCACGUAGGUGGGUUUGUAAGUCAGAUGUGAAAGCCUCCUGUUCAACGGGAGAAUUGCAUCUGAAACUACAGAUCUUGAGUGUAGGAGGGGAGAAUGGAACUUCUGGUGGAGCGGUGAAAUGCGUAGAUAUCAGAAGGAACGCCGGCGGCGAAAGCGAUUCUCUGGCCUAUUACUGACACUCAGUGUGCGAAAGCUAGGGUAGCAAACGGGAUUAGAUACCCCGGUAGUCCUAGCCGUAAACGAUGGGCACUAAGUAGAGGGGUUUUA